rnacentral:piRNA from 1 species
UGGGGAGCGCCUCGUCGACAUGAGUGA